GGAGAGAUGGCUGAGUGGUCGAAAGCGCCGGAUUGCUAAUCCGGUGUACGAUGCUAUCGUACCGAGAGUUCGAAUCUCUUUUUCUCCU
rnacentral:tRNA from 1 species